rnacentral:rRNA from 1 species
CCCUUAGGUGUUCUGGGCCACACGCGCGUUACACUGAUGAAGCCAGCGAGUAUAUCGCCUUCACCGGAAGGUGCGGGUAAUCUUGUGAAACUUCAUCGUGCUGGGGAUAGACCAUUGCAAUUAUUGGUCUUGAACGAGGAAUUCCUAGUAAGCAUGAGUCAUCAACUCGUGCUGAUUACGUCCCUGCCCUUUGUACACACCGCCCGUCGCUACUACCGAUUGAAUGGUUUAGUGAGAUCUCGGGAUUGGAGACGUUGCGCCGCAAGGCACAUCGUCCUCGAGAACUUGAUCAAACUUGAUCAUUUAGAGGAAGUAAAAGUCGUAACA